GUCUACGGCCAAACCCCCCGAACAUGCCCGAUCUUGUCUGAUCUCAGAAGCUAAGCAGGGUUGGGCCUGGUUAGUACUUGGAUGGGAGAUUAAUUAAAUAUAAGCUUGGAAGGGACU
rnacentral:rRNA from 1 species